ACGAGGGCAACAUUUCAAAGAAGAAUAGCAACAACAAUUCCUGACUCAGGACAGCAUGUUAUCAAGUAACUGAUCCUGAAAGCUUUGGAGCUUUGUUUUCAGAUUGAAAAUGUGAAACAGGUACCAGAUCUUGGAAAGUGAUUGGUUCAAGCAACUAUCCAAUUCUCUGCUGAAAGCUGAAUUUGUUGCCACCAUGCUAUGUUCUGAGACCGUGCAUUCCAGAUCCAACAACUUGCUGUUUAAAAAUAAUUUUGCAUCUCAGCUCUGAAGUUCGCUGAAAAGCAGAAAAUUGCACAGAAGUCGAAGGUUUAUGGGUACUAUUGGUCUUCUGCAAACAUCUGAUAACGGUUUACCACCAACAUAAUGGCGCCGGAUUUCUUAGAUCUGCACCAAAGAUCUUGCUGUCAGUAAUUAGAAUGGUGUUGUCAUCAAUGCUGCAUUGAAUUCUCAUUUCAGUUCAAUUUUUGCUUAUCCCUCACACCACUUUCCACUGGUGCCUGCUUAGGGGAAUGAUCCAUGUUGAACAUUUAGAAGCAAAUGUCUAUUCUAAAGUAAAUUGUGUGCAGUCAGCAGCAGAGAUUCUCAUUUUCCCUGAUCAAUGCUGCAAAGCAGAAUCAUUAUGUGACUUGCUAGUACAGUAAUAAAGUUCAUCAGAAACCACUGAUACAACAAUUUAGUCUGCACCUAAAGUACAAAAUAAAGGUGAAAUGGAUAUAGUCUCCUUACAGCUGAAGUCUAAAGUGUUUCCAUUAUAUUGUGGUAUGGAUUGAUCAUAAUAG